AUUGAACGCUGGCGGCAGGCUUAACACAUGCAAGUCGAGCGGGGUGAUGGUGCUUGCACUAUCACUUAGCGGCGGACGGGUGAGUAAUGCUUAGGAAUCUGCCUAUCAGUGGGGGACAACAUCUCGAAAGGGAUGCUAAUACCGCAUACGUCCUACGGGAGAAAGCAGGGGAUCACUUGUGACCUUGCGCUAAGAGAUGAGCCUAAGUCGGAUUAGCUAGUUGGUGGGGUAAAGGCCUACCAAGGCGACGAUCUGUAGCGGGUCUGAGAGGAUGAUCCGCCACACUGGGACUGAGACACGGCCCAGACUCCUACGGGAGGCAGCAGUGGGGAAUAUUGGACAAUGGGGGGAACCCUGAUCCAGCCACGCCGCGUGUGUGAAGAAGGCCUUAUGGUUGUAAAGCACUUUAAGCGAGGAGGAGGCUCUUUUGGUUAAUACCCAAGAUGAGUGGACGUUACUCGCAGAAUAAGCACCGGCUAACUCUGUGCCAGCCGCCGCGGUAA
rnacentral:rRNA from 1 species